UUUAGUUAUUUUUUACAGAAACAAGAACUGUGUGUCACUAAUGGAAAUACAUUAAUAAAAUCAUGAAAAAUAAAUUGAAAAUAAUGAACAAAAUAAAACAUACCUCAGAACUUCACCAAGUGUAUUGAAAAUCGCCUCACCAGUGCUGAUGUUGCAGACGGGCAUGUCGAUGAUCCUCGACUUUGCACCUGUAUUUACUAGGGAUGGGUAUUGAUAAGAUUUUAUCGAUAUCGAU